UUCUUCCUCUUUCUCCUUUUCUUUUCUCUUUUCUCCCUCUCUUUCAAAAUCUCCUUCUUUCUCCUCUACAAUCUUUCUCUUUUUCUUUUCAGGAAAGGAAGAAGAGGAAAGAGAAGAAGAAUUCGCACGAGAGAAAAGAGAGAGAAUGUCCAGUUGCCGAGUUUUCCGAAACUCCCCCAUUUUUGUGGGAAAAGAGAAGGAAAAGAAAGAAAAA
rnacentral:ribozyme from 13 species